rnacentral:lncRNA from 1 species
GGAUGGGAGGAGGAGUAGACGAGUUUUCCAAGUUAACAACUGGCUGCGCCGCUGGUGUUGGCAACAGGGCUUUGGUUUCUAUGACCAUGGGACCCUGUUUGAAGAUCAACAGAUGAUGGGGAGCGAUGGGAUCCGCCUCACCAAGCGGGGCACGCGCGUCUUUCUUUGCCAACAGAUUGGCCAGCCUGGUAAGGAGGGCUUUAAACUAGGCAAGAUGGGGGAAGGGGAGUGGUAUAGUGGCAGGGGAGUCAGUAAAAUACCGCUCAAGUCAGGAGGCCUCCAGCGGGUGCAUACAGCCAGGGGAGACAGCAUGCAACAUGGCUAUGGAGGAUCCUCUUGCACCUCUCCUGGGAAGCCUGCAUGCUUGACUGGCUCUCUGAAAUGCCUGUACACCAAUGCACGCAGCAUGGGGAAUAAACAGGAAGAGUUAGAGAUCUGUGUGCGGUCGCAGGACCAUGAUCUCAUUGCGGUUACAGAGACAUGGUGGGAUAGUUCACGUGACUGGAAUGCUGUCAUGGAUGGCUAUGUGCUUUUUAGGAAAGACAGGCCAGGAAGGCGAGGUGGUGGAGUUGCUCUUUAUGUGAGGGAGCAACUAGAAUGUAUGGAGCUCUGCCUCGGGGUGGAUGAAGAGCAAGUUGAGAGCCUAUGGGUAAGGAUUAAAGGGCAGGGUAACAUGGGUGACACUGUUGUGGGGGUCUACUACAGGCCACCUGACCAGGAGGAAGUCAUCGAUGAGGCCUUCUACAGACAGCUGGAAGUAGCCUCACGAUCACAGGCCCUGGUUCUCAUGGGAGACUUCAACCACCCUGACAUCUGCUGGAAGGAGAGCACAGCCAGGCACAAACAGUCAAGGAGGUUCCUGCAGAGCAUUGAUGAUAUUUUCUUGAUCCAGGUGGUGGAGAUGCCAACGAGGAGAGGUGCAAUGCUAGACCUUGUACUAACAAACAAAGAAGGUCUAGUUGGAGAUGUGAAGGUUGGGGGCAGCCUUGGCUGCAGUGACCAUGAGAUGGUGGAGUUCAGGAUCCUGCGAGGAGGGAGCAGGGCAAUGAGUAGGAUUGCAACGCUGGACUUCAGGAGAGCUGACUUUGGCCUCUUCAGGGACCUACUUAGGGGAAUCUCAUGGGGUAGGGCCCUAGAAGGAAGAGGGGUCCAAGAAAGCUGGUUAAUAUUCAAGCAUCACCCUCCUCCAGGCUCAGGAUCAGUGCAUCCCUCUGAGGAAGAAGUUCAGCAAAGCGGGCAGGAGACCUGCAUGGAUCACCAAGGAACUCCUGGCAAAACUCCAGCAGAAGAAGGAAGUGUACAGAAUGUGGAAA